AAGGUUUUAGCUUAAUAAAAGUUUCUGAUUUGCGUUCAGAGGAUGUAGGAUGAUGUCCUGCAAGUCUUA
rnacentral:tRNA from 1 species